CCCAAGCGUUUAGAGAUCCUGAGACCUCAUCCUCUGAGACGAUCAUCACCAUGUUUGCUGUGAAAGCAGUUUGCCUCCUCGCCACCAUCGCUAUACUUGUUGCAUUUGUGGCUGCGGGAGCUCCGAAUAAGAGAAUCUGCACAAUAUCAGUGUUUGGGCCAAUCUGUAAUGGCCAAUAAAGAUGAAGAGAUG